rnacentral:rRNA from 1 species
GUGGAUUAGAUACCCUGGUAGUCCACGCCGUAAACGAUGGAUGCUAGCCGUCGGCAAGCUUGCUUGUCGGUGGCGCAGCUAACGCAUUAAGCAUCCCGCCUGGGGAGUACGGCCGCAAGGUUAAAACUCAAAGGAAUUGACGGGGGCCCGCACAAGCGGUGGAGCAUGUGGUUUAAUUCGACGCAACGCGAAGAACCUUACCAGCUCUUGACAUGUCAGGUCGGUUUCCAGAGAUGGAUUCCUCCCAGCAAUGGGCCUGAACACAGGUGCUGCACGGCCGUCGCCAACU